GUCCUCGAUCCGAUCGCGACGAGUGAGCUUUCGGAGUGGUUCGUUUCUUCUGCUUCGCGUAUGUCUCUCCAUGGAAGGUCUCUCUCAGGAAGAAAGUAGCAAAGCGCACACGCAAUAAGGCAACGGGUUCGCUCGAAACCAGCGGCACGCUACGGCGGCGAUUUAACUCCAACCCGAAGCCUUGGAAGAAAGUUGCGUUUCUUUUUGCAUUCGCGGCGCGCUAGAGAAGAGAAACACCUGGCCUCGCGUUCGAGUCUUCGUCGCGGUUCGUGUCUGUCUUACGCUGUACACUAUUACGGGGUCCGUUUUGUGGACCGUUGGGGGCUUCCCGGUAGACAGUUCAACAGUAACCGCGCUUCGAGCAAGACGUUUUCCCUCCCGACAGAAACAGCCCCGAAGAAAUUCGAAACGACGAAACGCGAUUCCGCAAGGAGAAAACGGUAGCACUUGUUGUAGCCCCACAGUUCAACGGGGCCUUAACGGACUUGCGCGCGUUCCCUUCUAUUCCCCCUCAGUCCUUCCCGGAGAAGCGAGAGUUGCUUAAUCCCAAUAUUCGGCGAUUGCUUGGGACCAGAGAUGCCCGGAGGUCGUCCUUCGAGCUCUCUUUCAGUGUGGUGACAUCGCGCGAUAGAUAGUCACACAGUGUUCGGAAACCGGAUGUUAGAAGGUGUUGCGCGAUCAGACGACAAGUGAGAGUGAUCACCAUUAUUGGAUUCGCGCAGUGCGCAGUGCCGCAUGCCGAAGCGUUGAAGAGUGUUCAGUGGUCGUAGAAGAAAGAUUCAUUGGAAAGUACGAGUGACAAAGUCAGAUUCAACUCUGCGUUCGAAUAUCUGUGUGCCGUAUUCCGCUGACCAUUUGCAAGAAGAAAGCGAGAAAGUGAUUCGCUGAAACAGUACCAGUGUGUCGUUGAGGCGUACAUUCGUGCACCCACCUCGGGGGAAGUUUGCGUAAUGAAAAUGUGAAAUUGGUGACAGUGGGAAGUGAGCUCCUUUUCUGGAUUUGGAAUAUUUUCGAAACAACAAAUAAAGUGAAGUGAGGAUUUCUGUUCGAAGAGAAAAAAGGGAAUUGUGGAUUCGGAUUAAGGGCUGAACUUGUCUUGAGACGGACGACGGAUUUGGAGGGAACAGAAGAACGGUUGGACUUGGAAGGCUGAACAAUCGAGAAAGUGGAUUAUCGUCGUGGAAGCAGUGAUGACGCGUCGUAAGCACCUUUACCAGCUGUUGCUGGUGCUACUGGGAGUGAUGGCCAGAGCGCAGGAUGUCUCGGAAGAAGAACCGACGGCAUCCCCACAAGUAGCAUCCCUCGUUGUUAACGGAGGCAGCAUCAGCACAAAUAACGCCGGAGGACCAGGAGGAAGCUGUAGCUUUCCCGGGGCCCCGGCCCACAGCACGGUACAAUUCACGGACGACGCUCUGCCGAACGGAGCGGUCGCUUCCUACUCCUGCGAGCGGGGCUUCGAGCUGCUCGGACCGGCCCGGCGGGUCUGCGACAACGGCCAAUGGGUUCCCGAGGGUAUCCCCUUCUGCGUUCUAAACGUGGCCGCCGGGAAGGCCCCGAUGCAGAUUUCCACCGAUGCCGCCGGAAUCCCACAGAAAGCCAUCGACGGAUCCACGUCGGCUUUCUUCUCACCGGAAACGUGCUCCCUGACCAAGCCGGAACGCGUUCCCUGGUGGUACGUCAACCUGCUGGAACCGUACAUGGUGCAGCUGGUGCGACUGGACUUUGGCAAGUCGUGCUGCGGCAAUGGAAAACCAGCGACGAUCGUGGUUCGGGUGGGCAACAACCGUCCGGACUUGGGUACGAAUCCGAUUUGCAAUCGGUUUACCGGUAGCCUCGAGGAAGGACAGCCCCUAUUCCUGCCGUGCAACCCACCAAUGCCCGGAGCGUUCGUAUCGGUCCAUCUAGAAACGAGCGGCCCCAGUCAGCUAUCGAUUUGCGAAGCGUUCGUCUACACGGAUCAGGCCUUACCGAUCGAGCGGUGUCCGGCGUUCCGCGAUAUGCCCCCGGGUGCAUCGGCUUCCUACAACGGCAAGUGCUACAUCUUCUACAGCCGUCAGCCAGCUACGUUGCGCGAUGCUUUGGCCUUCUGUAGGUCCCGCGGUGGAACCUUGAUCAACGAGAGCAACCCGGCACUGCAGGGAUUCAUCAGCUGGGAGCUGUGGCGUCGGCAUAGAAGCGAUACCUCGUCGCAGUACUGGAUGGGAGCCGUGCGGGACACUCAGGAUCGGAACAGCUGGAAGUGGAUCGGCGGCGAUGACGUGUCGGUUUCGUUCUGGAACCUGCCCGGAGGCGAUGAGGACUGCGCCCGGUACGACGGAUCCAAGGGAUGGCUGUGGAGCGAUACCAACUGCAACACACAGCUGAACUUCAUCUGUCAACACCAGCCUAAGGCAUGCGGACGCCCGGAGCAGCCGCCAAACUCGACUAUGGUAGCCCCGAAGGGCUUCGACGUAGGCGCUGUCGUUGAAUACAACUGCGACGAAGGACAUCUGCUCGUGGGACCAUCGCAGCGUACCUGUCUGGAAACUGGAUUCUACAACGAAUUCCCUCCCGUUUGUAAAUACAUCGAAUGCGGUCUACCGGCUGCCAUUCCGCAUGGACACUACGAUCUGGUGAACGGAUCCGUCGGUUACCUCAGCUCGGUUCACUACAAGUGUAACGAAGGCUACGAAAUGGUUGGACGCGCCCUGCUGACCUGUGACAUCGAUGAACGCUGGAACGGACCGCCACCACGUUGCGAAGUGAUCGAAUGCGAACCGCUGCCGACGUUGUUCCCGAACGGAGUUGUAGUGGCGCCCAACGGCACAGAUUACGGAUCCCGAGCGGAGGUUGUUUGCAACCGUGGAUACAUUCCAGAGUCCGAUGAGACGCACAUCGUUUGUACGGCUACCGGCCAGUGGAGCAAUCUGCUGCCGAAGUGCAUUGAAGACCCAGCGAGCAAGACAACGACGCCACCCCCAACGACAACGCGUCCACCAAUUGUGGUUGUAUCGACGACAACGGUUCCAGUUACUCAGUACACGCAGAAGCGACCUCAGACGAGAAGGCCCACAAGACCAACCAGCCGGUUCACGACAACUACGACCACAACUCAAUCGCCGCUGUUCAGCAUCGAGAUUGACGACGGUAACGACAGUGACGGCUUAGACGGGUUCUACGUCGGUACUAACGAGGAUUACUCUCUCCCACCUCUAGAAGUCCGUCCGGGUCACGAAGAGGGACCCUCGCGUAAACCGUACCGCCCCGGCCAGAACACGAUACCAAAGAUUCCAAACGCACAUGUGCCACCGCCGAAACGGCCGUCGUACUACGAACCACCAACCACAUCCACGACUACUACAACAACCACCACUACCACUACACAAACACCAAUACAAACACGCCCUACUACGACUAGCACACGGCAGACUACCACCUCGCGUUCGCCGCAGGACAUUAUCCUGUCGCAGCAUCCGCAAGACAACGAAAUCGCAGGCUCCGUCAACAUCCGGCAGGAUCAAUCGCCGAAGGUCAACGUACCAUUCGCCGUCGAUAACUCGGACGGUGAGAGUACCGGCGGAGUCUAUGGCGGCAUCGGAGGCAACUCGAACCUUGGCUCCGGUUCCGGAGAUCGGAAGGAAGCCAAGAAUGCCCGCCUCAAUCUGGGAGCCAUCGUGGCGCUCGGCGCCUUCGGUGGUUUCGUAUUCCUAGCGGCCGUCAUUACCACCAUUGUGAUCGUAGUGCGAAGAAUGAAUACAUUAUAUUCAACGGCGAGGGCACACAAGAAGAAUACAUUCUCCUACUCCUAGGGCGUCUAGGGGGAGAAAGCUAGGCGUGAGGCCGUGACGAAUAUGUAACUGACAAAGAUCGAGAAGACCUCCACGAACCUACUCCGAAACAACUUCCAAAGCGCACCGGUCACAAGUCACGAGAGAUUUCAACUGUCACUGCCUUCUAUCGACUGUCAGUCUGUCUCCUUCAGCCUGUCUCUAUCAAUCUUCAACCUUCCUAGCGCUCACGCACAUCUUUAUCCACGCUCAGCUCACGCCAGAGAUAGCAUUGCGUCUCCAAAACGUGAAGAGAAAAGGACAGUGGCUCCAUCUACUGAGAGACUCAAGCAAUCCCUCUUCCUCUCACGCUAUCUCUCUCACUCUCUUUCCCUGAAUCAACCUACCAAUCGAACAAGAUUUCCAUUAAUCUAUUGUUUACUGCCCUGCCCGAAACAAAACCUCGCUCAUCCCGCCAAAAACUAAAUCCCCGAUCAAUCUUCAUAAAACCAACCCUGUAAACCCGUAAACCAUUGAACCCAGUUCAUCGCCGGAUCAUCCAAUCGGUAGCCCCGGUAGCAUCCCCAUGCGCUGCUAUCUUCCGAGGGCCGCCGAUUCCCUACGACCAGCGGCACGCCGCUUCUUUUCUCAAGCCACUCCCGGCACUACCAAUGGCGCUCCCAAUACCAACACAACCACCGCCACUACCGGAAAGUACUACUUCUCCGACAUUGUCAAGGCCCGAGACCUGAACAACAACGCCCCAACGUCCAACCAGAAGAACAAGAACAAGAAAGACAAAAAAGCAGCCAAGGGCUCGAACAAGGACGUGCCCUCGCGUUGGUAUACUGUAUUGGCACUACCAUUCCCGGAUCAGACCGUCGGACGACGCGACAUUCUUGGUACGGCUUAUGGACGUCGGCGUCGGCAACAACUAGAGCAGCAGCAACAACGGGAAGACGAACGACCACGGGUACUACGGCCAAAGAAGUCAACGCCUUCACCGGCGCUAUCACCAUCGCCACAGACAGCGACUUCCAUCACCACCUCCAAGGCCAGUAACAUACGACUCUUCUCAAAUAGCGCCGAUCUCAGCGAUUCCGUAGUGAGUAGCCUAGCUGUGUCACCACAGUUUUACCGGCGACCAUCUACCAUCGAAUACUACCGCCCCGAUUCGCAGUCUACGUUAUGAUCACUUCUUAGACUGCUCAAAGGCACAGAGCCACCACCGCUGGUGAAUCGUAUCGAUUCACCCGCUCGGGAGCGUUCGUCGCUGCUUCACCAUCAUCUGCGCUUCUACCGACGCCAUUACCACCACUAUUACAAACACUACCUUAAUCAAACGACGUGCCAUAACCAUACCAAUACUAACGUACAAAUUCGUAACCAUACAAUAAACCGCCAGGCGAACCAGCACUACCGGCACCGGGCCUCGCCGGACUGCAACACGGUGGCCUCGUUCUCCAGCUCCAGUUCCGAGUCGCGCAACGGCCUCAACCGGUACUACCGGCAGGCGUGGGAAAAUCUGCACGAGUCCGCCUCCAAGGGCCACAACAGCAACAGCAACCACAGCAGCGGCCUGAAGCGGAAGGAAACGAUGGAUGCGCCACCGCCGAGCCGGUCGCGCUCGCGGGAGAACCUCGGCGGCAGCCGGUCGCGGGAUCUGGACAGAUCCCGGGAGAACCUGUCGUCCAACCGGAGCCGGGACUAUCCCCGGGACAGCAUGGCCGUGCGGGACGGCUCCGAGAUGGUCGUGUCGGACGUGUGCGUCAAGGGCGAGAAGAAACGGCACCACCACCAUCACCACAAGAGCAGCCACCGCGGCGGCGGCGGUGAAGGCCAGGAACGAAGCCGCGGAAACCACCGGGACAGCCGGGACGGAGACUUCCGGGAGCCGAACAUCAUGGGCAGCGGCGGCAACGGUGGAGGCAACGGACGCCGAGGCGACCACCGCCACUACUGACCCCGUAGAAUGGUAAUCACUAUCAGAAUGGAAGGACCGUACAAGGACCGCGACGAGGACGAAGGUCGCCGGGUUCUGAUGAGCCCACUGUGGGAGUGACCACCUAGAAAGAAAACGGGACUUUAGAUGAUUCUAACCUCUCUUCUUCCCUAUCCAACUUUCACCUUCAAUUUCCUCUACAAUUGUGUACGUAUUUAUUUAUUAUCGGAUAGUUUCACUAGUUCUUAGGACGUUGCUCACAUUUUUCAGUGCAGGAAGCCAUUCCUAAAAAAAAAACAUUAAAAACCAAACGCACCUUAGCAGUUAAGUCGACCGAUAGUCAAGACACAAACCAUACCUAACCUUGUCGAUUAGUUAAUCGUUUGACCUGUGCACCAACUCGACAUCUACACCCACACUGAAAGAAAUUUUCUUCCCAUUUUGAUUGUGAUUUACCAAUAAUUUUUUUUUUCUGAGUUUCUUAUCCAAUCCUUUCGCGCCCUUAGCUGACGAACGCAUGACAAAAGUUGGAAAAUUUCUUUCAGCAAAUUCGCUUCACGAGCCAAACUUUCGAAUGGGGAUUCGAUCUUGACCGCGUCUAAACCCACAACGCAAACACGCAACAUAGAAGUGCGCACACAAACACACACAAUCUAGACACAAUUCGUCGGAUGACGUUUAGUCACGGUCGACAUUGCUACCCGUUGCACCCUGUUCUCCCCUUUUCUCCCUUUUGACAAAAGGCUUUUGUUAAUGUUUCUAUCUCGUCAUAAGUCGUUAAUUUAUUUCAUUCGUUUGUUUGUACUAUUGUUUCGUUCUAUCCUCCCAAAAAAACGAAGCGAUUUACCGAAAAUUUGUUAUCACUUUUUGUGUUGUUAACGUUAACCUUCAAGGAAACGAAGUGAAAAAAGAAGAAUAUCGCUGAAGAAAAAAGAAAAUCUGCAAGGCUUCGCUUCUCUUUCAAAGAGUUUGAAAAAAAUGGAAGACCUCAGAGCAGAAAACAAAAAAAAAGAAGAAAAAUGACAAGCACACACAUACUAACUUGUAGAAAGAGAAAGAGACAAAGAUUAGGAGAAACGAAACCGCAGUUGCAAUAUCGAGUUCUAGUGGACAAUUAGGCAAACAAGCAAACAAUUAUCGUUGUUUUUGUUUUUAUUAGGAAAUUGAAUUAGGAAAAAGAAAAUUAGGCUGACAAUUACUGACAUUCCCGAUUGUUUGUUUUUUAUAUAGACAUAGAGUGCCAUUACAAAGGCAUGCAUAAUCCUUUUUGCUAUUGGUAAAUUCUCUCUCACAAAUUACUCUCAAGUAGGUUUUCUCGGUCUUUGGAAUUUGUCAGAAUCGACAACCUAAUCUAGCAGUAAAAAGAAAAAACAAGUAAAUGCAUUUCAGUAUUUUUCCCAUUGGUUUGUUAACACUUACACCCUUUAUUCGUUUUUAAGGCAAAUAUUUAGGAGAAAUAAACACAAAACGCGCGCGCUCAAAUGUACGUUGUGAAUUUGGAAACCAGUUUCGCUAGGUUAUACACUAUGUAAAUCGGUUUAGACUUAAAAACUAACGCAUACAUAUACGUAGAAACACACAUACACACGAGUAAGCUAUCUGGUUUUAGCAGUUUACACACAGACAACCGAAGCGAAAAAGUUACUAAAGAAGAUAGUAGGAAAUACUGGCCGCUAAGUGUACCAGUAGACCGGACAUUCAAUGACGGAUUGGAGGAAAAGAAAAAAAA